rnacentral:rRNA from 1 species
UACGUAGGGCGCAAGCGUUGUCCGGAAUUAUUGGGCGUAAAGAGCUCGUAGGCGGCCAGUUGCGUCCGCUGUGAAAUCCCGGGGCUUAACCCCGGGCGUGCAGUGGAUACGGGCUGGCUAGAGGCAGGCAGGGGAGAACGGAAUUCCCGGUGUAGCGGUGAAAUGCGCAGAUAUCAGGAGGAACACCGGUGGCGAAGGCGGGUCUCUGGGCCGAUACUGACACUGAGAAGCGAAAGCGUGGGGAGCGAACAGG